CUCGUGUCGUGAGAUGUUGGUUAAGUCCGCAACGAGCGCAACCCUGCAUUCAGUUGCCAUCGGGUGAAGCCGGGCACUCUGGCGGGACUGCCAUCGACAAGAUGGAGGAAGGUGGGGAUGACGUCAAGUCAUCAUGGCCCUUAUGUCCAGGGCGACACACGUGCUACAAUGGCCGGCACAGCGGGAAGCGAGGCAGUGAUGCCAAGCGGAUCCCUUAAAGCCGGUCUCAGUUCGGAUUGAAGUCUGCAACUCGACUUCAUGAAGCUGGAAUCGCUAGUAAUCGCAGAUCAGCCAAGCUGCGGUGAAUACGUUCCCGGGCCUU
rnacentral:rRNA from 1 species